AGUGAGGCUCAGCAUGGGGCACAGAGAGGAACAGUCACCCCUCCUCUCCCAGCAGCCUGCCCAGGGCACCUGCACCCUGCAUUCUAAGAGGGACACAAGGCGCUGCUGGCGGUGUGUCUGCAGGACCCACAAGAAUGCCUGCUGGUGACGUUUCAGCAGGACUCUCCAGCAACCCCACUCCUGAGCACGUGACGAACAUAAGCCAUCUUCAUAUGCCACCAGAAGACGAGCCUCGGGAGCAGUUUUAGUUCUAAGAGCUCCAAGCUGAAAGCCGACUGCCUGUCAUCCUUGACCACCUGUCCACAAGGAAGAAGGGGUACAUUUUCCUAGAUUCACACAACUGAAUGCUACACACCCGUGAAAAAGAACAAGUUACAGGUCCAGGCAACAAUGAGGAUGAACCUCACAAACAUAACAUGAAGCAGAAGGAGGCAGACAUGAAAGAGUACAGACUGCAGCAUUCCACUCAUAGGAAGUCCAAGCAUGGGCAACGAAUCCAUGCGGCUAGAGGCUACAAGAAUUCUCCAAAGCAUUAUCUAAGUCCUGGAAGAGCAAUUACAGUUUUGGUACCAAAAGUAGGAGCGACCAGCCAGGCUCUCCCCCACAGACAACAGCACCUGCCCACGGCCAGCCUCCUGCGAUGAGUCACAGGUGCCACGUGAAAUGCAUUAUACACACUCAGGGACAGACACGCAAAUGCUCCACUCAUGAAGGAUACAGAAAUAGAUGGAGGAGCUUCUUGGUCAUUGUUUACUUCUCAAAAAUGGAAUCAUUCUAUACAUCCUUAUGCACAUGUUAACUUCUUACUCAAAGUACCUCCUGGAAAUGUUUCUGAGUCAACUGGUUUGCCUGUGAUGAAUUCUUUUAGGGACCUGCACAUUUCAUAAUACGGACUUGUGAUAAUUUAUUCAAACUUUUACCUACUUAUUAGGUUCCCUUGAUAUCCAGCAUUGUUUUUUUUUCCUUUUUGCUUUUUUUGGUCACUACAAAGCUGCCAUAAAGAUGCUUAUGAAGAUAUUCCUAAGUAAGGUGCUUUUAUUUUUAGGGUGAAAUUCCCAGAAGUAUGUCUGAAGGCUGUAGUGUUUUUUAUUUCACUGGGUGUCACCAAAAGGCGCUAACGCUUGACAUCCCAUCAAGAACGCAUGAAAACUCCUCUCCCCUCACGACCAGUGAAUAGCGCUUACUGCCCUGGGCAAUGCUGUGCCAGCCACUGAGCACAGUGUUGCCUUAAUUUGCAUAUGGAAUACCGGCAGACUCGAACACCAUUCACAUAUUUCCUGGCGAUCUGAAUUCCGUGUCUGUAAACUGCUUGUUCAUCCCCCUUGCCCGUUGUUUCUUUGGGUUUCCUAACUUCACACUCACUCCUACGAUAAACAUAAUUUUCUUCUUGGAUUUGUACUUUUUGUAUUUUACAUUCAUGUCUUUAAUCCAUUUAUUUUAUUUUACUUUUUUGAGAUGGAGUCUCACUCAUGUCACCCAGGCUGGAGUGCGGUGGUGUGGUCUCGGCUCACUGCAACAUUCGCCUCCCAGGUUCAAGCGAUUCUCAUGCGUCAGUCUCCCAAGUAGCUGGGAUUACAGGUGCCCGCCACCAUGCCCAGCUCACUUUUGUACAUUUAGUAGAGAUGGUCAGGCUGGUCUCGAACUGCUGACCUCAGGUAAUCCACCUGCCUCGGCCUCCCAAAGUGCUGGGAUUACAGGUGUGAGCCACAGUGCCCGGGCCAUUUGUUUUUAUAAAAUAGGGAUUCAACAUUUAUUUCUUCCUGACGAAUAACCAGUUGUGCCGACACCAUUUAUUAAAUUUAUUAAAUAAGCUCUGUCAAAUAUUCCAUAUUUUCUAAUCUAUUCUACUGACUUUUUUGUCUAUUCUCAUGUAAUAUCAUAAUUUGAUUAUGGUAUUAAAAUAUGUUAAUCUUUUGCAUAUUUUCAUAUCAUAAAAUGUUAUCUUUACACUUUUCUUGAUAAUUCCUGGACAUUCUUUCAUACAAACUUUAAGAUUAUUUUAUUCAAUUAAAAAAAACCCUGCUAAGAUUUUCACUGGAGUUGCAUUUUAUUUAAAUAUUAACACUGGGAGAAUUGGAACUUUCCAAAUAACAAGUUUCCCACCCAUAGUACAUACUUCCAGCUUUUCAGACUUUGUUUUCUGUCUGCCACUGAGGAUUAUUUUAUUUCAUUUUUUUUUAGAUGGAGUUUCACUUUGUCGCCCAGGCUGGAGGGCAAUGGUGCGCUCUCGGCUCACUGCAAACUUCGCCUCCCGGAUUCAAGCUAUUCUCCUGCCUCAGCCUCCCCAGUAGCUGGGAUUACAGGCGCCUGUCACCAUGCCUGGUUAAUUUUUUUUGUAUUUUUAGUAUAGAUAGGGUUUCACUAUGUUGGCCAGUUUGGUCUUGAACUCCUGACCUCAGGUGAUCCGCCCACCUCGGCCUCCCAAAGUGCUGGGAUUACAGGCGUGAGCCACUGCGCCUAGCCAGUUUUCUCCUUUUAAGUCCUGUGUGUCCAGAGAGGGGUGGGCACACUCACAUUCAAAUCAAUGCUGCCAUCCCCCUGGCUCCAGGGACCCCUGCAGUUUAAGCUUCUCCGGGAAGCCUCUGCUUUCAGGUUUCUUUUCUGGCCCAGUCCAGGUGAAAAGAGCUCGCACUAAGAUCUCUGCUGGGAGUCAGACUCACCUGUCUACCAGCUUGGGCAGACGCUUGCCUUGAGUCCUGAGGCUAGGCCACAGCUGGAGCAGCAGAUAGAAGGGACAGGGUUGCACUUAUAACACCACUAUCCUCCCAGCCCUGGUUUUAUCAUCAUCAUCGAGAAAAAUACAAUUAAUCAGCAGUGAUCAAAGGUAAGUCUAAACAUUCCAUUUAACUAACUUAAAUGUGACCUGGUGUGCCGUGUCAUUCUAUAAAUGACAUAACAGAAUAAGACUCACUUUCUAAUUCACAGCCUCUGGUUCAAUUUCAAGUAAGCAAAUACAUUUUGCUUUGGUUUUGCUUACAAUAUUCUGGGAAAUGCAGGCUAUAAAUAAUCACUCAACUGUUUUGUGGGUCAACAGAAUCACUACUACUUUCAGUUUCGUUGAUGCCAUUUAUAUCAUGAGCUCAAGCACACGGGCGCUUCAGAAGGCACUAUAAAGUUUAGUUUUGAUGUGGUGUGAUGUUCUGAUCUAUCUUGAAAGGUAAAGAAACCCACAGGAUUCAGCGUCAAGCCAAUCCAUGCCCAGGCACAUCGCAGCUGCUAGGUCAGGAAAUCUGUGCGUUUAGGAGGCUCUGAGGGUGAUGCUGGGACUGUACUCAGGUAAUUAAACCCGGACAAACCCUGAGGCACAGAGAGGAUGAGUAGGGGCCCUGGAGGCAGCCUGACCCACAGGGAAUUCUCGAGUGUGUGGCAGCCCUGCCUGGGGAACGAAGACCCGAGCCUCAAUUUCCUCACAGGGGCACUCGCAGGGUUGCUGUGAGGAUCACAGGGGUAAUGUAUGUGGCAGUUUGUCAUACCCCAGGGCUCUGUAAGCGGCAGUUAUUUAUAUUGUUACUUAUGACACUGAACUAAGAGCUGACCCUGACGCCGCCUCCUCAGAAGCCCUAAGUCUUGAGUGGCCUGGACACCACUACACACGAGAGUCAGGGGCGGGGGCUUUGAGAUGGACCACCAGGAAAGCCGGGAGAGGGACCGGGACAGGGCUCCCACUUGCUCCUGGCUCACAGGGGCCCUCAUAGUCAUCAGGUGGACCCCAACAGCUGUGGCCUGACAAAGAUUCCCCCAAAGGCCAGCCCACCUUACACGCUACAUCUGCCCCAACAGCCCCCCAGCCCAACAGGUGGUGCCUUCAUGGAGAUGCCCAUCCCUGCACGUAGCACUCAAGGCAGUUCUCCCACCUGUAAAGCUGUUUUUCUUCCCCUACAAUCCACACCCAACCUUUCUAGGUCAAUCCUGAAACCCCACACAAGCUCCCCAACUACACCAGAUCCUUCAACUCCAACACGCUCACCAAGUCUCUUCAAUAGUCACUUCCAUCUUUAUAAUUUACCAUUUUCUUGAGCUGUUUGUAUAUUUCUCUAACCAGAAAGACAAGAAGUAGUAGUAUUCAGAUUUAUAAUGACUGGUUACUGGUACUGAUUUGAGAGUUUCUUGUCAAGCGGAUGAGUGUUUAAGGCCCACCACCUCUUUUCAUAUUCUUCUCUCUUAAAAACCACAUUUUCAAAGGUCUGCAAACGUUUUCCACAGUCAACAACUUGAGAGGCAUGGAAGUUUCUUGCUUAUCAGGGGCCAAGGGGGAAUUUUAGAAUCUUUUGGGUAAAUGAAUGUUUAACAUCCCCUGAAAGCUGCUGGAGAGUGGGGAACCUAGGACCGUCACAAAACAGCCAGCCUCUGCAUUGCCUCUGCCGACCAGGGCUGCAGAGGGCAGCCACCCAGGGCUCAGCCACCGGCAGGAGUGGAGGAAGCACAGCUCCAAAGGUCACAGAAUUGCAGUCCUGGAGCUGGGUCCCUGCCAACUCCCGGAGAGUGAGCGAGGGGCCACUGGGCUGUGAAUGCACUGUCUCUGGCAGUGGAUGAUUUCCUCGUUCUUCUACGAUAGAGACUCUAAUGCCUCUCAGGCCCCUGAUGGUCUACAGGCCGGGUGACGUAAUCCCAAUGAGGGUAAGAAAAUUAUUCCUGCUUUUCUCCAGGUUAUAACUGGUGAUUAUGUAGGCUUGUCUGCUUUAAUCUUCUUUUCUCAAAGUCUAGUAGAACACCUGCUUAACAACUUCCUGCCCACCCAUCACUCAGACAAAAAUGCAGCGUUCCAAGAACAAUGGAGAGCCACCUCCGCAGCCAGACCUAGGGUUGGAUCGCACGAAGAGCUGGAAUUUGGGGAACCACUUAAGACUGGAUACAUUUGGAAGGAACAGUCACACAAGAUAAAAUAAAUAUUUAGCUAAGCUUUCAAAUUCUGGAAAUGUCAACUAAUAAAACUAAAAGUCUACUACCUCUGAAAGUAUAAAUCCAAAAAACAUUUAAAAGACUUUAAUUUUAGCAAAGGGAAACCGAAAAGCCAAAGCAGCAGAAUAACUUGUUUCUACAUAAUCUGUUUCCCCAUGUACCUGCUACCAUCCCCAUCCUCUGCCCCACAAGCUUUUCAAGUGACGAACUCCUCACAGAGACGACAGGCAGUGCUUUCCAUGAUUCUUACCUUAACUAUGCUGAUAGGCUUUCGAGAUAAGUGAAAACUUGCAUACAGCAGAAAUGUCAAAAUAAAAAUGAAGGCUCUGUACCUGAAACACAAAACAGUGGGAGAGGAUGAUAUGAAAUAACAGAAGUUAUGUUAGGAAUACAUAUCACUGUGUUCUGAAACGUUCUUAUGCUGUGUAUUAUUCAUUCAGUUCUACAGCCAUUAUCAAUAUUACUUAUGUCACUAUAAUAUUGGAACAUUAAAAAAUAUUGCCACGUU